UGCCAGCCGCCGCGGUAAUACGGAGGAUGCAAGCGUUAUCCGGAUUUAUUGGGUUUAAAGGGUGUGUAGGCGGAAGUGUAAGUCAGUGGUGAAAGCCUGCAGCUUAACUGUAGAAUUGCCAUUGAUACUGCUCUUCUUGAGUAUAGUUGAAGUGGGCGGAAUGUGUCAUGUAGCGGUGAAAUGCAUAGAUAUGACACAGAACGCCGAUUGCGAAGGCAGCUCACUAAGCUAUUACUGACGCUGAGGCACGAAAACGUGGGGAGCGAACAGGAUUAGAUA
rnacentral:rRNA from 1 species